UACGUAGGGGGCAAGCGUUGUCCGGAAUCAUUGGGCGUAAAGCGCGCGUAGGCGGCCCGGUAAGUCCGUUGUGAAAGUCAAAGGCUCAACCUUUGAACGCCGAUGGAUACUGCCGGGCUAGAGUCCGGAAGAGGCGAGUGGAAUUCCUGGUGUAGCGGUGGAAUGCGCAGAUAUCAGGAGGAACACCAAUAGCGAAGGCAGCUCGCUGGGACGGUACUGACGCUAAGGGACGAAAGCUAGGGGAGCGAAUGGG
rnacentral:rRNA from 1 species